CCGCGGGGACAGGACGGAGGAAUGGGCACUGCUGUGCCCUCAGACAAAGCUGAAGCUACACAAGCAAGCCCUGGGGGUGCUCCUGGGCAGCACCGAGCCGCCGCUGGCUGAGGGCAGGACCAGCCAGGACUCAGCCAAGCUGCCCUUGCUCCUGUCCUGCUCAGACAGAGCUGGGAGGGGACCAUAACCCGCGGCAGAAAGUGAGGGACACCGAGAGGAGAGGAGAGCAGAAGCCACCAAGGCUGUGACACAGGCAGGGACGAGGCACAGAGCUGCUUAACCACGGCCCCAGGAGGAUGCUUUGCUGCCUCCCUCCUGCCACCUCCGGCAGAGCCCAACCCUACCGCGGGAACUCUGUGUUUGAAUCCGAGAUGCAGCACAAGGACUCGGUCCUGCCCUGGCUCCACCAUGUGUGCAUGGAUGUGCUUCAGGGGCUGGAGAGCAGCAGCUCCCUGCCCUGCUGGGCACAGCCCAAAGGUCUCCAGAGAGCUUCCAUGCCAGCUGGUGCCUCUGCUCAGCAGCUUGAUGAAGCCACUCUCGUACUGGGUGAGGACGCCCACAACGUCCAGGUGCCUGGAGCUCAGCCUGUCCCGGUCCACUCUCAGCCUGCACACAGGUCCCUCCAGCCCGCCCAGCGGCCAGGGCUGCAGGCUGGAGCUGGCCCAGCCCAAGGCUCCAUCCUCAGCCAUGCCCUGAGAGCAUCCCGGGCCCGGCUCAGGCUGCGGGAAGCGGCUCCCAGGAGCUGCCCGCCUGGAUCUCGGCGCGGGGCUGGCUCCUGCUCUUCCCCGCAGGGUGAACUUCUCCCUCUCGCUCUGCUCAGCUCCGAGGCUCAGCUCCGACCUUACCCCGGCGCUCCCCUGCCUCGGAACCGCCGCCGAGGGGAGCAGCAGCACCAAGCACGGCAGGAGCAGCCCAAGAGCAGCCUUCAUCUUCUCCCCGCAGCCGCUGGGGAAGCGGUUCGGGAGCAGUGGGGUGGAAGGGGAGGUCGGAGGCUGCUUUUGAACCGGCGGUGGCCUUGAGUUGACAAUGCACAACACCUCCCCGGAGCAGCUCCCCGGGGCUGCGGGGCUGCAGGGGAGGGAGGGAAGGGAAGGGAGGUUGCAAAGAAAGAGUUUCUGUUCUA